rnacentral:lncRNA from 1 species
AGCGUCCUCUCUAUCAGUCUGCCUUCCACGAAAAGCAGGUGAGUUCUUGACCACUAGUGCUACCUGGGAAGCUCUACCUGCCCCUAAGAUGAAGAGAAGCCCAGCAGCCCAGCAUGGAUCAAAUCUGUUAUAGCUCUCAGCACAUUUCAUCCUCAUGAAAGACCUGUGUACAAACAAAGACCUCGCUGCCUAAAAGUUAAGCUGUGGCAUCAGAAAGUGCCUUUGUUCUUUGCUCCUGUUCUGCCAAAGUGAGAAAAUGAUCAGAAUCAUGUGACCAAGCAAAGGGAAGGGCAGUGGCCCUCCCCCAGGGAGCAUCACCGUGGCAGGAGCGGAAGAGCCCUGCUAGGAGGACCAGACUCUCCCUACAUCCACGAGAGUGGUUCCAUGGCUCCUUGGGGUGGGGAAGACGAGUCUUCAGGAAGACUCAGCUCAGGCAUCUUCUGUUUCCUGCCCUUUCUCCGGUGGAAAUGAUGUAUCCCGCUUCUUGUCACCCACCCGCGCCUGCCCGCAUCCUUGAUAGGGACAGGGAGGAGAGAGACAAACCAAGCGAAGCCAGUAAGCCUUAAAUCUCACUGGCAAAGAUGAAAUAUUAUGCAACUUUUUUUUUAAAAAAAAGAAGCAAAAUGAUUUGGGGUGUGGGUCUUUUGUUGCUAAUGUUCUGUGUUGUGGUUUUUAAGGAUGAAUGUAUGACUGUAUCAUCUGCGUAACCGAAAAUUAACAAAAAUUAUCAUCAAAACAACAAAAGAGAAAGCAGCCAUAGGUCUGAUUGGCAGCUCUGCCCAUGGGUCAGCCCUGCCUGAAGCCCUUUCAUCCCAGUCCUCUGAAGGCUGCUGUGGGACAUUCUGGUGACCAAAGGGGCCUGCGCCCGUCUCAGGACACAGAGGGCUUCUGUUGACUCUUGACACCCAGUGGGCAGGUGGGAGGGUACAAAUCCCAGACAACAAGUUGAUGCAAAAUGGCACUGCCCAGCCAAACCACAGGAAGAGGAGAAAUUCAGUAAACAGAAGACACUUCACUGAACUCAGACGAGGCAAACGCCCACGUCUGAGUCUUAGGUGAAAGGGGAACGUGUCAAGUAUGUUUUCUUAGCGAGGAUUCAUCAG